rnacentral:lncRNA from 1 species
CGACGAUCCAGUGUUCUGUCGUGCGGGAAUAGUCCCGCUCCUCUUUCCCGCGAUGAUCCCGUCCGGCCUUAUAUAUUGACAAAACUGCAAAAAUGAUUAUUGUGAUUUGUAUUUUAUGUGGUUAAGUUCCAAACGUUUGAAAAAUUAUAAAUAUGUUUAUUUUCAAUAAAUUUUGUUGUGGUUUUAGUUCCUCUUCUCUUAACUUUAAGUUAAAGUAUUUAAAAUGACUAUUAAUCCUAUUGACCAUUUUUAUAGUUUUUGUCUUUUAUCAAACUGUAAAACCAUUUUUGCAUAUGUUCAUUUUUAUUUUAUUGAAGUAUUAUAUAAUAACUAGGACUUUUAUUUUAUUGAAGUAUUAUAUAAUAACUAGGACUUAACUUUAAGUUAAAGUAUUUAAAAUGACUAUUAAUCCUAUUGACCAUUUUUAUAGUUUUUGUCUUUUACCAAACUGUAAAACCAUUUUUGCAUAACCAUUUUUGCAUAUGUUCAUUUUUAUUUUAUUGAAGUAUUAUAUAAUAGUUUUUAUUUUAUUGAAGUAUUAUAUAAUAACUAUUUUUAUUUUAUUGAAGUAUUAUAUAAUAACUAGGAAAGUGCCUACAUGUAGUGGGGGUCAGAUUGCUUUUUAUAUGGGUUAGAUUGCUUUUUAUAUAAUUGUUAAAACAUCGCAAUGUACUUUCUUUAUUUGUGUAUUAUAAUAUGCUAUGAAAAAGAUCCUAAAACUGGUCCUUGUGACAAAAAACAAAAACAUUACCAAGUCGUUCUCCAUAGUAUAAAAACAUUAUAGAAAUGGUCCAUAUUGUAGAAAAAAGUUUACGUAAUUUGUCCAUAUAUAGAAAAACAUUACAAAAUCAGAAUUGUAAGUUUACUUAUUUUACAAUUAAGGCAUUGUACCUCAAAAGGAACAUUAAAAUCGCCUCACUAAAAAAAAAAGCAUACCUCCACCUAAAUUCUGCUCCAACCUGAACACAAAAAUAAAUAAAUAAAAGUCAUUAGUUUCGUACCUAUCCACCAUCAACAUAACCUAGGGUAACUCCUAUUGGUAUGCACAUAUAAAAGAUUUCCAACGAAGUUGUUCUCCGUAAAAGAAAAAGUAAAUAUGUUAUUUGAAUAUAGGGGUAUUUUUGUCAUAUGUACAAAUAACGGGUGAUGAGCCUUGUCCAUAACCUCGAUUUUAAACUCUUGUAAUUCUUGUCCAUAAUGGCUUCACAACCUCUUCAGUACAGUUUUAGUAUUUAUCAUAGAUGAUACAUUACUUUUAUAAAAAAAAUCAAAAUCUACGAUGAAAAAUGUUUGAGCAUUGCUUUAUUAAACUAAUCCUACUAAAUCUCAAGCAAAAUUUUAGAACUUAAAGACGUAACUGUUGUUAUUAUUAAGCUGUAUGACAAUUAGUAUAAGUUCAACAAACUUACUUUUGAUAGCCAGAACCCCUGAAACAACAACCAAUCCAGUGGAAGCAAACGUAUGUGCAGCAGCAAAGUAAACACCCUCUGUUGACCAGAAUGUGGGCAUUGACAACAGUCAACAGUUGAUAACAAACCUUUGAUUUGAUUUCUUGAAACAAUCCAGGACACCCACAUCCAUUUUCUUUUUCCAAUAAAAAAUAUACCAAUAUCUAUUCUGUUCGGAAAUAUUCUAAAGGAUUCCGAAGACAACAUCCAAUGAAAAAUAAUACAGAAAACGGAACACAAGAACAUAAGUAUAUAUAUACCUGCAAUUGAUCCGAAAAAUCCUUGUUGUUAAAUACCGAUGUUACACCCCAAUGAACAACAACAUCAUCAGGAACAGGCAAAGGCAAAUAAAAAAAAUUGUACAUUAUGUCGGCAAUUGCAAGUCAAUUCUGGGAGCUCAAUUCUUGAGUUAAAAAUUUUAGGGAUUACCUAAAUAGAGGUUGAAUUCAUCAUCCUACCGAGUUUGAUAAAGAAAUAGGAUAUUCUGCUUUCAGGAAUCCUUAAAAAACAAAACCGCUGACAAUCGAUUCCUGCAAAAAAGAAAGUACAAAAAACCCAAAAAUGAAAAUUAGGUGAUACAUAAUUACUCCCAAAAUUGUCAAUUGUAAAACAAAUCAACAUCUCAAUAAUCCUGUAAACCUGAUCUAUGCACCUUUUUUUUUCUACGAAUCCUGGGAUGUGACCUACUGAGAAAAUGAUAAAGCUGGAAGGGGGCAAAAAUCGACGGUGUAAAACGGACCUGAAGUUGAUCAAUUGAGGGUUCCAUGAUCUCUAUCUCCAAGUAGAAAGUUUAUAGAUGUUUUCUUGAAGUAUUGAAGCCACCGAUAUCACUUCCUUAUCCAGCAGACACCACCGUUGUUGCAGGUGGCAACAGUCUCGCUGCCUUUCUUCUCUUCCAACUAACUAUGCCCCGGUUCUUAGAAAUCUUU